rnacentral:rRNA from 1 species
AACGAACGCUGGCGGCAGGCUUAACACAUGCAAGUCGCACGGUGUCAUUUUGGUAGCAAUACUUGAAUGGCAUAGUGGCGCACGGGUGAGUAACACGUGAAUUACAUGCCCUGUAGAGGGGGAUAGCCCAGGGAAACUUGGAUUAAUACCCCAUGGUCUCGCAAGAGUAAAGGUGGCCGCAAGGCUGUCGCUACAAGAUUGGUUCGCGCCCUAUCAGCUUGUUGGCGGGGUAACGGCCCACCAAGGCUACGACGGGUACCUGGUCUGAGAGGACGAUCAGGCACACUGGAACUGAGACACGGUCCAGACACCUACGGGUGGCAGCAGUCGAGAAUAAUUCACAAUGGGGGCAACCCUGAUGGUGCAACGCCGCGUGGAGGAUGACGGUCUUCGGAUUGUAAACUCCUGUCAUCCGGGAGUAAGACCUGGCUGUGAAUAGCAGACAGGGUUGAUAGUACCGGAAGAGGAAGGGACGGCUAACUUCGUGCCAGCCGCCGCAGUAAGAC